UUGUUUAUUAAUAAACUUAAUAUGUAUAUGAAAUAAUUACACAAAGUGUAAUCUGUUUUCAAUAGUUUUAUAAUAAGGUAAAGAAGAACAAGUUUGUUUAUGUUUCUUGUCUAGAUAUAGUCUCCUUAGUGUUUUAUUGGUCCUGAGAGAUUCCAUCAGUACCAGUACUCCAUCAGUAUCAAUGUUAGUAUAUUGGAGCCAAAGGAGAGAUAGUGUGUGGUUGUGGAGUAAAAGUUCAGCUAGUGACUGAGCACUGGUUGAAGUGAUGUCAGGAUUGUUAUAAAGAAAUAAGCCAGUAAUUGUUUUAUUAUUAAUUAAUGAUUGUGUUAGUGCAAUGACUCCAUCAUCAUUGAUGGAAUCAGGACUGAUCGAUAGUGCCUCUAAUGAAGUGAUGAGUGAUGGAGGGAAAUGGUUUGAUGACUGUCCGUUAAUUGACUGAUCACUUCCUGACAUUGACCUGCUGAUGGUUUAGUGAGGGUUACAUAACUACUGCCCCACUCCACCUUUCCAGUCUCUUCUCCUAAUAAUAAACACAGUGAUGCUGGUUUUUGUACCAGUGAGUGCAUU